CGCGCAGGCGGGUUUGUCAGUCAGGGGUGAAAUCCUACAGCUUAACUGUAGAACUGCCUUUGAUACUGCAAACCUUGAGUUCGGAAGAGAGAGGCGGAAUUCCAGGUGUAGUGGUGAAAUACGUAGAUAUCUGGAAGAACACCAGAGGCGAAGGCGGUCUCUUGGUCCGUAACUGACGCUGAGGCGCGAAAGCGUGGGGAGCAAACA
rnacentral:rRNA from 1 species